rnacentral:tRNA from 2 species
UAAAAAGAAGCGAUAACUUUGCAAUCAGUUUCGACCUGACAUUAGGAUUAACCCUUUUUAA